AUCACCAAACAAAAACCCCAGUAACUCCAGAGCAGAAAGACAAAGCAGAUUCAAACAAGACAACAGCAUUAGAUGAAAAGGCUCAACCACCAGCAAUAGAGAGACCAUUUCAGGAAGCAAAGCCAAUCAGACUGAACAUGUAGUCCAUGGAUCCUCUACAUUUCUACAGACAAAAAACAGUACACAGGAAAGGACUAACUCAAAACAGCCAUUAAGUAACAAAAAGAUCAAUUUCUAUCUGAGAGAGAAACGGGAAAAACAGGUAAUAAAGUACCAAUGUACUUCUCUUCCUGUGAUCACAAGUAUAUGUAUGAUGGACAGUAGGACUCAGGAGUAGGCAAUUCAUUUCCAAGCAGUCAGUAGCAAUUGAAAUAAGCACCAUUUUAUACAAUUAGAGAAAGAGAACAAAAGGAAAUGCAUCCCCAAUUAAAAGCAUACGACUGGCAGGAGCAAUGAUAGUAAUAGAUAUACAUUCAGUAUAUUGACUAAUUAAAAAGGCAAGAUGGAAAAUGGAUGUAUUGGGGAAUAUCAGAGAAAAGCAUCCCAUUUAAAAAUAAUUUGCUAUUUGAAAAAUAAUUGUUGGAAGGCUCCCCAGUUGGCAGCAACAUCCUAAAAAUUAUACUGUAUAUAAGCCACCCUCUGAGCGAAUAGUUGUAAAACAGCAGCAGUAAUCUCAGGCCCUGUUCAGAUCAACAUAAGAAGCUUGGCCUAGUUCCAAAAACAUGGAAUAUGCUUCUGCCUUUUCCUUUCUUUUCACAUCUGUAAAAUUCUCAUCAGGAAUUUCUACACUGGUGCAUUCAAAGAGGAAAAGAAGCUGAUUUGCCAGUUUGUUUAAUUCUCCCUAGGUGAGCAAAAGAAUAUGGGGGUAGUAUUUGCACAACAUAGAUUAGCAAAAUCAGCACCAUUCUUGCUUUUCCUCAUACUAUUCAUUGAAAGUUGAAGUACAAUUUUAAAUCCCAUGCCAAUCCUUAACUUAGUCUUCAUUUGACUGCACUUUUGUCAGGCAACUGACCUGCAAUAGCAUCCAUUAUCACUAGAUUCCUUUGGGCAGUGAAGUAAACCUCAAAAAAAUGUAGUAAAUUUGGAUGAAACAUGGGUUUCCAAUCAAGUUGAGGUCACAACUAAAAUGAGUCUGCUGCUCUCAAUCUAUUGCCUAACACUAGUGUGUCCACGUCACCCACUUAGUACAAUUUCAUUUACCUGAUUGCUCAUAAGUAAAAGCACUGAAGGUAUGGAAACAUAGUACAGAGAAGCUUAAACACUAUGCUCACUUGCCUUACUCUUACCAAUGUGAUCUGUGUCUGUUUUGAAACUGUUUAUAUUCCAUCCCCCAAAAUUGAGGAAAUAUAUGAAAAAAAACCAUUUUGAAGUGAAAAGUUCAGAGUCUUAAUAAGUAUAAUAAUAAAAAUCUUUUGCAAAUAUUAUUCGGAGGUUCACCCAUAUAGUAUAAAUUUGGGGAUCACAGAGAAGCAAGAAGUGAGGGAAACAAAAAUAGCAAGAAAGACAAAAGAAAAGGUGUUUAGAGCACAAGCAAGUAGAAUAAAGGUGAGGGUACUCAGUCUAUUGACAUACUGUGUAUUUUCUAGGCUUCCCAUCUCGAAAUAUCCCAGAGUGUAUGUGAGAUUUUAAUGGAAUCUCUGCCUGGCCUCAUGAGGGAAGAAGUAGAUGGCUGAUUCCCAUUAGGAAGUCUUCUAAAGGCAUCAGAAGUCAUGUAAAGGUUAGAAAGAGUAACUCUUAUAGACCCAGGAUGAAGUUGGGGUGAAGGUCAUGAUGAGGUCCUGGAGAAGGCAUGAGCUGAAAACCAAACUUAAGCCUGAAUCUUUUUGUAUGCAUAACACUGUUGCCUAGCUAUCUUAUGCAACCGUGUCUCCUAGGUAGUUGUAUUCCUCUCCAGUCACAUUAGGUAUUUCUAAGCCAGCUCUCUCUUUGUUAUCUAAGCAAAGUUUAUACAUCUGAUGCUUCUGAGCACUUUGUGGAGAAGAGCAAAAAGAGAAGUCACUGAUCCAGAAAUGGAAUGAAUAAUACAUAUGUACAUAAUGACAGAAAUCCAGGAGAAAGUUCCUUCUCCCAAAAGACUAUCAAAGCUAUAUUGUAUGAGCAUCACACUUGAGAUUGCAAGGAUGUUGCCAAGAAGGCAUAUUAGAAACAAGGAUGAUCAGAACUGUUUGUUAAUGAUACAAAACUUUGUCUCCAGAGGACUCGGUAGAUACUUGUCUGAAUUUCACAUAGGACUUACUGUUCUACUCAUUGGUAUCAUCUGCUCUUUUAUCCUGAGUGAGUUCAACUACCAGAGGGAGGGAAAGGCAUAGAAAGAAUAAUGUUUUGAACAGGAUGAAUUCUCCAGGAUGAUUCCUUGUGAUCUGCAAAAUGACAGAACACCCCCUCCACCAUGUACCUGCAAGCCCCCCUGCAUUGAGUCGAAAAUGAGGUGAAAUUUUGCAUAUUCAUAUUUAAUACCAGAUUUAUCCAGGUCCUUGUUGAAUGUAUCACGGCUCUAGUGCAUUGAAUUGUACCUUAGUCUAAAAUUAAUUUAGUUCUACUGGUUUUAGCAGUAUUACUCCUGGAGUAAGGUACUACUAAAUGCAAAUAAGAGUGGCAGAACCUGUCUCCUGGCAUUUUCUCAGUAGUUAGUUCCCUCACUGGGUUUGCUGUAAAACUGGAGGAUCUAGUUCAUCAUUUCUCUGAAACAUCCAUAGCAGAAGCUAUUUAAAACUCAGCUGUUUCUAAGUUGCUCGUCACUUUGUAGAUUUGGCUACAAAGAGCUUAACUAAUAGGAAAAAAUGUCUAGUAGCCUAGAGUUAAUCUGUAGGGAAUUUAAUAUCAGCAGCCAAAUGGAAAAUGGAGAUGGGUGAACUUAGUAAAAGCCAGAAAAUAUAAAAUUAUAAAGAGGAGCAAAAAAUAAAUAAUAACCAAGCAUGUCCUAAAAAUAAUACUCAAGCUCAAAAUAUGGGUGGUGGAGCAGAACUUCCACUACUGUAACUUACUGUAACUCCAUAGACUGUAGCGGAGCAAAGCCCAUGUAUAGCAAUUGUAGAUAUGGCUUGGUGUGGUGUACCAGGCCCUUUGAGAGCCCCCUACCAGAGGCCUCAUGAUCCUACCACAGCCUGUCCCAGGAAAGGAAUAGUAAGAUGUAUCCCUCAAGCCUAACUAAAAGACUGAAGGGAAGGAGCCAAUCAGAGUGCAGUAUGGUUAGAUAAAAGGAGCUCCAGUUGCUGGCUGGGACCAAAAUGAUGAGAAAGGACUGGAAGACCGAAGGUACAUCUAUACUGAAAGCUUCUUUCAGAAUAAAGCUUUUCCAGAAGGUAUCUUCCCGGAAAGCUAUUUUGAAAUAGAGUGUCCACAUGCAAAAAACUCAACAAAAUAGUGAUGUGUUAUUUCAAAAGAUAGCGUCCACACUGAUUGGACACUAUCUCGCAUUUAUGGCCAAACAGAACCAGUUCAGGCAGGGCAUGAGGUCAGCAGUUGCUUCCGGUAGUUGCCGCCUAAGGCGCAUGCUUAAGGGGAACCCCUCAGGUCCUUCUGCUUGCUUGCCUACCUCUCUGAGGGGCAGCAAAGCAUUUCCUCUGCGUACACUGGUUGUCCUGCCUUUGGACACCACAGCUCUCCUUGCCAUGGAGCCGGAGCUGCCUUCGGGCACACGAUGGCCCCACACUGACAUGCUGCAGUUUCUUCAGUAGUUUCUGCAGACUGCCUUCAUGGCCCGCAUGAGCUCAACCCUGAGCUCAUCAUGGAGAACCUCUGCCUGUGUACAGGAGCAAAGCCCUUGCAAUCACACAGCACAGUGGAGUGACACUUCUGGUGGCUGGACACCAGUUCGACUGCUGGGACGGGCUGGUGAUGGAGCAGUGGGACAUCCAGCAGUAGCAACAAAACUUCCAAAUGAGAAAGGAGACAUUCCUGGAGCUGUGUGCCUGGCUCAUUCCUGCCCUCCAAUGACGGGACACUCAGAUGACGGAGAAGCAGGUCGUUAUCAUUGUCUGGAAGCUGUUCAUGCCCAACAUUUACUGGUCUGCAGGCAACAAGUUUGGUGUGAGAAAAUCGACUGUCAGGGCCCUCCUCAUGCAGGUGGUGAGGGCCAUUAAAACCAUCCUGCUGCACUGGGUCAUCCGCCUGGGCAACCUGAACUCCAUCAUUGCUGGAUUUGCCUUCCUGGGCUUUCCCAGUUGUGGGGGGCUACUGAUGGAACUCACAUCUGCAUCCAGGUCCCUGACCACCGUGCAGCAUACAUUAAUCAGAAGGGAUAUUUCUGAUGGUCCUGCAGGGCCUGGUCAACCACCAUGGCCAGUUUACGGACAUUUUUGUCGGCUGGACAGGGAAGGCACAUGACACCCGCAUCUUCCACAACUCCAGCCUCCAGCCUCUACCGCUACCACAAGCUGGAGGCUGGCACUUUAUUCCCUGAGCACAGCAUCAAGGUUGGAGAUGUUGAGAUGCCACUGUGCAUCAUGUGGGAUGCAGCUUACCCCCUAAUGCCAUGGCUGAUGAAGACCCACACCGGCCACCUGGACCUGAGUAAGGACCACUUAAAUGGAUGCCUAGGUAGGGCAGACUGAAUGUACCUUUGGGAGCUUGAAGGCACGGUUCAGGUGCCUCCUGACCCAGCUGGAUGUGGGGGAGCACAACAUCCCCCAGAUGGUGUCAGCAUGUUUUGUGCUCCAUAACAUUAAAGAGAGGAAGGGGGAGGCCUUCCGUAUGGUGAGGUUAGAGACUGGCUAGAAGGGACAGGCCUUUCAGCAGCAACGCACAGCUGCCAUCUGUCAAGCCCAUCAGGUGGGGGUACACAACCAGGAGGGCCUGAGGGAGAGUUUCUCUGAAGGACCCCAGUAACUCUACUCAAAGCCUCCCCACUAGCAGCCUGUGACUUGCCCCUCUCUGCCUUUCCCACAACAACCUCUCCCUUCCCCCCUCCUUACCUCUU